AGCGAACGCUGGCGGCAGGCCUAACACAUGCAAGUCGAACGAUCCUUCGGGAUAGUGGCGGACGGGUGAGUAACACGUGGGAACGUGCCCUUUGGUUCGGAAUAACUCAGGGAAACUUGAGCUAAUACCGGAUGUGCCCUUCGGGGAAAAGAUUUAUCGCCAUUGGAGCGGCCCGCGUUGGAUUAGCUAGUUGGUGGGGUAAAGGCCCACCAAGGCUACGAUCCAUAGCUGGUCUGUGAGGAUGAUCAGCCACACUGGGACUGAGACACGGCCCAGACUCCUACGGGAGGCAGCAGUGGGGAAUCUUGCGCAAUGGGCGAAAGCCUGACGCAGCCAUGCCGCGUGAAUGAUGAAGGUCUUAGGAUUGUAAAAUUCUUUCACCGGGGACGAUAAUGACGGUACCCGGAGAAGAAGCCCCGGCUAACUUCGUGCCAGCCGCCGCCGUAAGAC
rnacentral:rRNA from 1 species